rnacentral:hammerhead_ribozyme from 1 species
GUUCAACUGAUGAGUCCAAAAUAGGACGAAACGCGCGUUAAACUGGAU